CCAGGCCCCCGUCACCAGCCACCUGAUGGACGUGGUUUGCUGCUUUCGUGAGCCCUGUGGACGUCCGACAGGACUCGGUGAUGAAGCCUUUGCUUUUUCUGUUUAAAGGUGGCACCCGGGUAGCCUUUGGCAAUGGCGGAGGAGUUGCAGCGGACCCUGCGACGACAGCGUGGCCUCCGAGCACGGCGCAAUCGUGCCGCCCGAGGACCCGGGCAUUCUUAGGAGAGCGGAGACUACGAGACAACAGCCCAGCAACAGCAGGAACUUCCCAGAUGGCGAG